UACGGAAGGCAGCAGUGGGGAAUAUUGCACAAUGGGCGCAAGCCUGAUGCAGCCAUGCCGCGUGUAUGAAGAAGGCCUUCGGGUUGUAAAGUACUUUCAGUCGUGAGGAAGGUGUUAAGGUUAAUAACCUUAGCAAUUGACGUUAGCGACAGAAGAAGCACCGGCUAACUCCGUGCCAGCAGCCGCGGUAAUACGGAGGGUGCGAGCGUUAAUCGGAAUUACUGGGCGUAAAGGGCACGCAGGCGGUUAAUUAAGUUGGAUGUGAAAUCCCCGGGCUUAACCUGGGAAUGGCAUUCAAGACUGGUUAGCUAGAGUCUUGUAGAGGGGGCAGAAUUCCAUGUGUAGCGGUGAAAUGCGUAGAGAUGUGGAGGAAUACCGGUGGCGAAGGCGGCCCCUGGGACAAAGACUGACGCUCAUGUGCGAAAGCGUGGGGAGCAAACAGGGAUUUAGGAUACC
rnacentral:rRNA from 1 species